rnacentral:rRNA from 1 species
UUGGAUGACUCUCGGCGAUGGAUAUGUUGCCUCUUGCAUCGAUGAACAGCGCAACGUACUGCAAUACGUGGUGAGAAUUGCAUAAUCCCGUGAACCAUCUCAUCUAUGAACGCUUGUUGCCCCCGACGCCUGUUGACUGACGGCACGUCCGCCU